UGCGUAGGCGGUCGGGUAAGUCUGACGUGAAAUCUUCAAGCUCAACUUGAAAACUGCGUCGGAUACUAUUCGGCUAGAGGAAUGGAGGGGAGACUGGAAUACUUGGUGUAGCAGUGAAAUGCGUAGAUAUCAAGUGGAACACCAGUGGCGAAGGCGAGUCUCUGGACAUUUCCUGACGCUGAGGACACCGAAAGGGCCAGGGGAGGCAAACG
rnacentral:rRNA from 1 species